rnacentral:rRNA from 1 species
GAUGAACGCUGGCGGCGUGCCUAAUACAUGCAAGUCGAGCGAACAGACGAGGAGCUUGCUCCUCUGACGUUAGCGGCGGACGGGUGAGUAACACGUGGAUAACCUACCUAUAAGACUGGGAUAACUUCGGGAAACCGGAGCUAAUACCGGAUAAUAUAUUGAACCGCAUGGUUCAAUAGUGAAAGACGGUUUUGCUGUCACUUAUAGAUGGAUCCGCGCCGCAUUAGCUAGUUGGUAAGGUAACGGCUUACCAAGGCAACGAUGCGUAGCCGACCUGAGAGGGUGAUCGGCCACACUGGAACUGGGACACGGUCCAGACUCCUACGGGAGGCAGCAGUAGGGAAUCUUCCGCAAUGGGCGAAAGCCUGACGGAGCAACGCCGCGUGGGUGAUGAAGGUCUUCGGAUCGUAAAACUCUGUUAUUAGGGAAGAACAAAUGUGUAAGUAACUAUGCACGUCUUGACGGUACCUAAUCAGAAAGCCACGGCUAACUACGUG